CCUGAGGAUGGUCCUCCUGACCAUGUACCCUCUGUUCCCUCAAGGCAUCAUCAGUAGUUAAGGCAGAUAUGAAUAAGAUGAUCCAGAAUCAGCUAGCUUCAACAAAGCAGUUUCUGAUGAAGAAGAAUUUAUGACCAUUUUUGUACUCAAAAUCAUGGAGAAACUCGGGCACCUUGUCAUCACAGGAGCUCAUGGUCAGGAGGACCAUCCUCAGGGGAGCCUUGACAUAGUUUAGCAUUUAUCACCCACUAUUUUGUUUUCCGGUGGCAGCAAAAAAUCAACUUCAGAAGUUGAAAGAUUGUACUCUAACUAGACUCAGUUGAUCAGUCUGGAACAUCAUGACUUUUCAUUUUCCUUUUCAAUAGCAUAUUUAAGAGCCUUUUUACACCCGUUAGAGAAGAGAGUAUCAAGAUCC
rnacentral:misc_RNA from 1 species